AACCUGGUUGAUCCUGCCAGUAGUCAUAUGCUUGUCUCAAAGAUUAAGCCAUGCAUGUCUAAGUAUAAACGCCUUAUACUGUGAAACUGCGAAUGGCUCAUUAAAUCAGUUAUAGUUUAUUUGAUAGUACCUUUACUACAUGGAUAACCGUGGUAAUUCUAGAGCUAAUACAUGCGAAAAAUCCCGACUCUUCAUGGAAGGGAUGUAUUUAUUAGAUAAAAAACCAAUAGAGGGCUAAACCCCCUCUUUUUUUUUUUUGGUGAUUCAUAAUAACUCUCUUUGUUUCGAAUCGUAUGACUUUUAUGUCGACGAUGGUUCAUUCAAAUUUCUGCCCUAUCAACUUUCGAUGGUAAUGUAGUGGAUUACCAUGGUUGUAACGGGUAACGGAGAAUUAGGGUUCGGUUCCGGAGAGGGAGCAUGAGAAACGGCUACCACAUCUAAGGAAGGCAGCAGGCGCGCAAAUUACCCAAUCCCGACACGGGGAGGUAGUGACAAGAAAUAACAAUGCAGGGCUCGAAAGAGUCUUGCAAUUGGAAUGAGUACAAUUUAAACCCCUUAACGAGGAACAAUUGGAGGGCAAGUCUGGUGCCAGCAGCCGCGGUAAUUCCAGCUCCAAUAGCGUAUAUUAAUGUUGUCGCAGUUAAAAAGCUCGUAGUUGGAUUUUGGGCUUGUUCAGUUGGUCACAUCGCAAGGUGUGCUGUGGGGUUGGGGUAUGGGAAUUGAGGGAAGGAGGGGUUAAUAGCCUCUCUUUUUCUCUUUUCUUCCUUUCCUCCUCUGACUGGGCUUGUCUUAUUAUUGGGAAGUCUGGGGGAGUUGGGGGGGUUCGCCUUCUCUUCUCUUCCUUCUUCUUAUUCUUUUCUUAAAGACCUUAUGUGCUCUUUACCGGGUGCGUAAGGGAUUUAGGACUUUUACUUUGAAAAGAUUAGAGUGUUCAAAGCAGGCUUCUUGUUUCUGUCAGUUCUCCCUCUCGGGGGGGGAUUGAUGGGGGUAUCUUCGCUUGAAUACAUUAGCAUGGAAUAAUGAAAUAGGACUUUGGUUCUAUUUUGUUGGUUUCUAGGACCGAAGUAAUGAUUAAUAGGGAUAGUUGGGGUGGUUAGUAUUUAAUUGUCAGAGGUGAAAUUCUUGGAUUUAUGAAAGACUAACUUCUGCGAAAGCAUUCCACAUGGAUGUUUUCUUUAAUCAAGAACGAAAGUUAGGGGAUCGAAGAUGAUCAGAUACCGUCGUAGUCUUAACCUUAAACUAUGCCGACUAGGGAUCGGGGGAUGUUAUUCUUUAUGACUCCCUUGGCACCUUACUGAGAAAUCAUCAAGUCUUUGGGUUCCGGGGGGAGUAUGGUCGCAAGGCUGAAACUUAAAGGAAUUGACGGAAGGGCACCACCAGGAGUGGAGCCUGCGGCUUAAUUUGACUCAACACGGGGAAACUCACCAGGUCCAGACAUGGGUAGGAUUGACAGAUUGAGAGCUCUUUCUUGAUUCUAUGGGUGGUGGUGCAUGGCCGUUCUUAGUUGGUGGAGUGAUUUGUCUGGUUAAUUCCGAUAACGAACGAGACCUUAACCUGCUAAAUAGUUACGCAAACUCAACCGUUUUCCUUCUUUUCUCUUCUUUCGGGGGGAGGGGAGAGGGGAUUCUUGGUGGUUUAGUGGUCAACUUCUUAGAGGGACUGUCGGUGUUUAACCGACGGAAGUUUGAGGCAAUAACAGGUCUGUGAUGCCCUUAGAUGCUCUGGGCCGCACGCGCGCUACACUGAUGAAGUCAACGAGUUUAUAACCUUGUUCGGAAGGACCAAGGGGUCAACUUAUUAUUCUCUCGGAUGGUUAGGAGGGUUCGCUCUUCUUUCUAUUUGGUUGGGUAGUAAGCCCUCUUCUCGGGGUAAUCUUUUGAAACUUCAUCGUGCUGGGGAUAGAUCAUUGCAAUUAUUGAUCUUCAACGAGGAAUUCCUAGUAAGCGCGAGUCAUCAGCUCGCGUUGAUUACGUCCCUGCCCUUUGUACACACCGCCCGUCGCUACUACCGAUUGAAUGGUUUAGUGGGAUCUUUGGACCGACGCAACACAGCUGUCUGACAGCAGUGAUGUGUUGGGAAGCUGAUCAAACUUGAUCAUUUAGAGGAAGUAAAAGUCGUAACAAGGUUUCCGUAGGUGAACCUGCAGAAGGAUCA
rnacentral:rRNA from 1 species